GAUGAACGCUGGCGGCGUGCCUAAUACAUGCAAGUCGAGCGAAUGGAUUGAGAGCUUGCUCUGGUGAAUUAGUGGCGAACGGGUGAGUAACACGUGAGUAACCUGCCCUUGACUCUGGGAUAACUGCGGGAAACUGUAGCUAAUACCGGAUACGACCCUCGGCGGCAUCGCCAGGGGGUGGGAAGAAUUUCGGUCAAGGAUGGACUCGCGGCCUAUCAGCUAGUUGGUGAGGUAACGGCUCACCAAGGCGACGACGGGUAGCCGGCCUGAGAGGGUGACCGGCCACACUGGGACUGAGACACGGCCCAGACUCCUACGGGAGGCAGCAGUGGGGAAUAUUGCACAAUGGGCGCAAGCCUGAUGCAGCAACGCCGCGUGAGGGAUGACGGCCUUCGGGUUGUAAACCUCUUUUAGUAGGGAGGAAGCGAAAGUGACGGUACCUGCAGAAAAAGCACCGGCUAACUACGUGCCAGCCGCCGCAGUAA
rnacentral:rRNA from 1 species